GUGCCUACUGAAUAGCUUGGUUGGUAGAGCAUGAGACUCUUAAUCUCAGGGUUGUGGGUUCGAGCCCAAACUGGGCAUA